rnacentral:lncRNA from 1 species
AGGGAAUACAGUUCAAGUUUUGGCAAUCAGGCGCCCACCUGGAGAAACAGGGAAUACAGUUCAAGUUUUGGCAAUCAGGCGCCCACCUGGAGAACAAGGGAAUACAGUUCAAGUUUCGGCAAUCAGGCGCCCACCUGGAGAACAAGGGAAUACAGUUCAAGUUUAGGCAAUCAUGCGCCCACUUGGAGAACAAGGAAAUACAGUUCAAAUUUUGGCAAUCAGGCGCCCACCUGGAGAACAAGGGAAUACAAAUUCAAGUUUUGGCAAUCAGGCGCCCACCUGCAGAACAAGGGAAUAUAGUUAAAAUUUUGGCAAUCAGGCACCCACUUGAGAACAAGGGAAUACAGUUCAAGUUUGGGCAAUCAGGUGCCUACCUGGAGAACAAGGGCAUACAGUUCAAGCUUUGGCAAUCAGGUGCCCACCUGGAGAACAAGGGCAUACAAUUUAAGUUUUGGCAAUAAGGUAGCCACCUAGAGAAUAAGGGAAUAUAGUUAAAGUUUUGGCAAUCAGGCACCCAUCUGGAAAAUAAGGGAAU